UACGAAGGGGGCUAGCGUUGCUCGGAAUUACUGGGCGUAAAGGGCGCGUAGGCGGACAGCUUAGUCAGAGGUGAAAGCCCAGGGCUCAACCUUGGAAUUGCCUUUGAUACUGGCUGUCUUGAGUUCGGGAGAGGUGAGUGGAAUGCCGAGUGUAGAGGUGAAAUUCGUAGAUAUUCGGAAGAACACCAGUGGCGAAGGCGGCUCACUGGCCCGUUACCGACGCUCAGGCGCGACAGCGUGGGGAGCAAACAGG
rnacentral:rRNA from 1 species